GUUUUCAACCCAUUACACUCUCCCCUCUUUUUGAUAACUCCUGGCAUCUGUUUGUUUGUCUGUGAAGUCAAUUUCUGGGCAGUGUCUAGCAUGUUCAGACAAGUGGUGUUCCUUCAUUCCAGUAACCUCAUUGUAAAACUGGAUAUGUCAUGUUUCCAGGCACCAUGUAAGAAUUGAGCACAACUGUGUUUGCUCCUUGUCUCCAUGACUGGUAUGACGGUUAUCCCAAACUCUCUCAUAGCUAAACAUUUCUCUGGGCCUUCCAGUGCGCGUGGACCUUCUCACAGGUCUGAACUCCUGAGCAGAAGCUGGCAGUCUGGUACGCCACUCUGGUUGACUUGGUUGUGGUCUGACAUCGCUCUGGUGGACCCGAGGACUGUGCUGGUUUGGUUGGAGUGUCGUGAUGCACUGGCAAGUCAUUUACAGCUAACAGGAGGUUCCGGUGCUGCACACGAAGCGCUUUGUCUCCAGACUCUGACUGGAUCUUAUACACUGGACCCUCUCUAAUUCUCUCCACAACUCUGUGUACUGUCUUCUCCCAGUAAGCACAGAGUUUCCCGGGGCCACCUCCUUUCCGAUAAGUUCCUCACAAGGACUCGAUCACCUGGCUGUAGAGUUGCACCUUUGACACCUAUGUCAUAGUCCUUCUUCCCUUUCACUGAGGACUUUUGACUGUUCUCAGAAGCGAUUUUGCGACUAGUCUCAUUUUGUGUGUGUCUUGCGUCUUUGUUGCCCACUUCUCUGUGAAUGUUUGUUGGGUUCUUGUCACUGUUUCUGGUUCGAGCUUGAACAGUAGGUCGAUAGGAAGGCGUGGAGCUCUGCCAUACAGGAGGGAAAAUGGUGAGUAUCCCGUUGCGUCGUGCCUUGUACAGUUAUAGGCAUGGAUGAUGUUUGGUAGAUGGUCUUUCCACUCUGUCUUCUCUUCUUACAGAGUACGGAGCAUCUGCAGGAGUGGUCUAUUCAUCCUUUCCACAGGGUUACCUUGUGGAUGGUAUGGGUUAGUUAGUGUGAGAUUUCUGCCUCAAACAGGUUGUUCAUGAACUCUCACCCUUGGUCAUGGUGAAGCUUACUAGAAUAGCCAAACCGAGGAAUGAAGUUUUUGAAUAUGUUCUCGGCUG
rnacentral:lncRNA from 8 species